rnacentral:rRNA from 1 species
AGAGUUUGAUCAUGGCUCAGAUUGAACGCUGGCGGCAGGCUUAACACAUGCAAGUCGAGCGGUAACAGGAGAAGCUUGCUUCUCGCUGACGAGCGGCGGACGGGUGAGUAAUACUUAGGAAUCUACCUAGUAGUGGGGGAUAGCUCGGGGAAACUCGAAUUAAUACCGCAUACGACCUACGGGAGAAAGGGGGCAACUUGUUGCUCUCGCUAUUAGAUGAGCCUAAGUCGGAUUAGCUAGAUGGUGGGGUAAAGGCCUACCAUGGCGACGAUCUGUAGCUGGUCUGAGAGGAUGAUCAGCCACACCGGGACUGAGACACGGCCCGGACUCCUACGGGAGGCAGCAGUGGGGAAUAUUGGACAAUGGGGGCAACCCUGAUCCAGCCAUGCCGCGUGUGUGAAGAAGGCCUUUUGGUUGUAAAGCACUUUAAGCAGUGAAGAAGACUCCAUGGUUAAUACCCAUGGACGAUGACAUUAGCUGCAGAAUAAGCACCGGCUAACUCUGUGCCAGCAGCCGCGGUAAUACAGAGGGUGCAAGCGUUAAUCGGAAUUACUGGGCGUAAAGCGAGCGUAGGUGGCUUGAUAAGUCAGAUGUG